CAAAAAAAAUAAAAUAAAAUAAAACCAUCAUCAAAAACAAAAACACAAAAAACAACAGCAGAAAAUUAUAACCAUCCUAAUAGGUAUAAAAUGAUAUCUUGUGAUUUUGAUUUGCAUCUCCCUUGUGAUGAAUGAUGAGCAUAUUUUUAUGUGUUUAUUGGCCAUUAGAAUAUCUUAUUUGAAGAACUAUUCAUAUCCCUUGCCUAUUUUUUAUUUGGCUUGCUUGUCUUUUUUCUUGUUGAAUUAUAAGGGUUCUUCAUGUAUUAUAGAUACUAGACUUAGCAGAUACAUGAUUUGCCAAUAAUUUCUCCUAUUCCGUAGGUUGUCUUUUCACUUUCUUGAUAGGGUCUUUAGAUGCACAAAAGUUUUUAUUUUGAUGAAGCUCAAUUUAUCUACUUUUUCUUCCUUCCUUUUUUUUUUUUUUAUUUUGAGACGAAGUUUUGCUCUAUCACCCAGGCUGGAGUGCAGCGGCACAAGCUUGGCUCACUGCAACCUCCGCCUCCCAAGUUCAAGCAAUUCUCCUGCCUCAGCCUCCUGAGUAGCUGGGAUACAAGCGUGCACCACCACUCCUGGCUAAUUUUUGUAUUUUUAGUAGAGACGGGGUUUCACCGUGUUGGCCAGGCUGGUCUAGAACACCUGACCUCAAGUGAUCGCCCUAAGUUGGCCUCCUAAAUUGCUGGGAUUACAGGCAUGAGCCACCAUUCCCAGACAAUUUUAUCUAUUUUUUCUUUUGUUGCUUGAGGUUUUUAUGUCAAACUAAAAAACUGUUGCCAGAUCCAAGGUCAUGUAGCUUUAUCUCUAUGUUUUAGAGGUGGGGGUUCACUUUCUUGCCCAGCCAGAGUGAAGUGGCUAUUCACAGGUGUGAUCAAAGCUAACUGCUCAAAUCCUGGCCUCAAAGGAUCCUCCCGCCUCAGCCUCCCAAGUAACUGGGACUACAGGCACUGCUGCCUGACUCUACUUUAUAUUUUUUAGUUAUUUUCUUAGUGAUUACCCUGAGGAUUACAGUUAACAUUAUAAUUUAUAACAAUCAAGUUUGAAUUUAUACCAGGUUAGUUUAAAUAGCAUACAGAACUUUGCUCUUACAUAGCUCCAUCCCUCCUUUAUGUUGCUAUUGCUGCAAACUACAUCUUCAUGCAUCGUGUGCUGAUUAACAUAUAUUUAUAACUAUUGUUUAUGCACUUGUCUUUUAAAUCAUAUAAAAAACAAGGAGUUAUAAAGCAAAAAUAUAGUAAUACUGUUUUUUGUAGUUAUAAUACCUUUACCUAUGUAGUUGUAAUACCUUUACUGAAGUUCUUUCUUCACAUGGCCGCAAGUUACUGUAUAUUGCCUUUCAUGUCAGCCUGAAGGACUCCUUUUAGCAUUUCCUGUAGGGCUGGUCUACUAGUGACAAAUUUCUCCAGUUUUUGUUAAUCUGGGAGUGUCUUAAUUUCUACUUCAUUACUGAAUAUAGUUUUGCCAGAUAAAAUUUUUUGGCCAGGCUUGCUGGCUCAUGCUUGUAAUCCCAGCACUUUGGGAGGCUGAGGGGGGAGGAUUGUUUUGAGCUCAGGAGUUCAAGACCAACCUGGGCAACAUGACAAAAUCCCAACUCUACAAAAAAUACAAAAAUUAGCCCGGCAUUGGUGGCUUGUGCCUGUAGUCCCUGCUACUCACGAGGCUGAGGCUGGAGAGUCACUUGAGCCUUGGAAGCGGAGGUUGCAGUGAGUUGAAAUCAUGCCACUGCACUCCAGUCUAUACUCCCCUGUCUCAAAAGAAAGAAUUUUUUUUUUUGGUUGACAUUUUUUCUCUUUCAGUACUUUAAAUGUGUCAUCCACUAACUGUGGCUUUCAUAGUUUCUAAUGAGGAAUCAAUUGUUAAUUUUAUUUAGAAUUUCUUGUAAAUAAUGAGUUGCCUCUCUCUUGCUGCUUUCAAGAUGCUCUCUUUGGCUUUUGACAGCUUGGUUAUAAUGCGUCUCUGUCUGGUUCUCUAUACUUGAAAUUUGUUGAGCUUCUUGGGUGUGAAGAGUCAUGUCUUUCAUUACAUUUGAGAAGUUUUGGCCAUUAAUUCUUCAAAUAUUGUCUCUGCCCCUUUCUCUUUCUCCUCCUCUUUUAAAACUCUCUCUCUUUUUUUUUUUUUGUUUUUGUUUUUGAUACAAAGUGUCACUCUGUCACCCAGGCUGGAGUGCAGUGGUGUGAUCUCAGCUCACUGCAACCUCUGCCUCCCAGGUUCAAGUGAUUCUCAUGCCUCAGCCUUCUGAGUAGCUGGGAUUACAGGCGUGUGCCACCAUACCCACCUAAUUUUUGUAUUUUGUAUUUUUUUAAAUUUUGUUUAUAUAUUUAUUUAUUUAUUUUGAGAUGAAGUCUCAUUCUGUUGCCUAGGCUGGAGUACAGUGGCACAAUCUUGGCUCACUGCAACCUCUGCCUCCCAGGUUCAAGCAAUUCUCUCAGCCUCCCAAGUAGCUGGGAUUAUAGGCAUAUGCCACCAUGCCAGGCUAAUUUUUGUAUUUUUUGUAGACACAGGGUUUUGCCAUGUUGGCCAGGCUGGUCUCAAACUCCUGACCAGCCCUCCUUGACCUUCCAAAGUGCUGGGAUUAUAGGCGUGAGCCAUUGCACCUGGCCCAGUUCCCUGGGAUACAUGUGUUUUAAUUCAUUUUCUGUUGCUAGUAACAGAAUACCUGAAACUGGGUAAUUUAUAAGGAAAAGAAAUUUAUUUCUUACAGUGAUGGAGGUUGAGAAGUCCAACUUCAAGGCACCACAUCUGGUGAGAGCCUUCAUUCCGAUGACAGCCUUCAUGCUGGUAAGAUUUUCUUCAGAGUUCCAAGGUGGUGCACGGCAUCACAUGGCGAAGGAAAUGAGCGUGCUAGCUCAGGUGUCUCUUCCUCUUCUUAUAAAGCCACCAGUCCCACUCCUGUGCUAGUAACUCUUUAAUCCAUCAACCCAUUAAUCCAUGAAUAGAUUAACCCAUGAGGCCUCUGCCCUCAGGACCCAAUCACCUCUUAAAGGCCUGACCUGUCAAUAUUGCCAUACUGGGGACUCAGUUUCAACAUGAGUUUUGAAAGGGACAAACAUUCAAUCCAUAGUAACAUGAGAGCUUUUCAAAGCCCUUCUUUGUUGAAGUAUGUCCUUCUCCAGCCUCUUUUUUCCCAGGCUUUUUGUUUUUUCUAUUGCUUGUGCAGCUGUUAUCCUUUGCUACAGGUGGCAAUAGCUAAUACAUUUGCCUUUAAAUUUGUUUGACAAACACCACCCUGGAAGUAGCCUCAACUCUGGGGAAGCUCCAAGACAGGUAAAAUACAGCAACCUGCAGCAGGAAAAUGGGCUUCAGUUUUCAAGUCUGCAGCUGAGUUGGGAAGUUGCGGACAGUAACCAGAGGAAAGGCCACAUGGGGACAAGAGAGGGCAACUGUCUACAAAUCUGGAAGAGAGACUUCAGAAGAAACCAGCACUGAUGGCAUCUGAUCUUGGACUUCCAGCCUCUGGAUCUAUCUGCCAGAGCCUGAUCUCAUACACACUGAUGUGGUACAGGAAAUGCCACCUGAAAAUAUGGUACCUUGGCAUUUGAGGAAACAGUAGAAGGAGGUCAUAGAAACUAGAAAGAAUUCCUCCUUGCUCUUUGUCCCCCAAAGGAGCCAUAAAACCUGGGCCGAGUUUCUUCUGAAAAUAAGUUAUAAGAUCCUUAUUCCAGAGGGGUCCUGCCCUGUGCCUGGAGGAAAAGAAUGAAGACACAGAGAUGCCUUGAAGAAUCUGAACAAACAGCCCUUGCUAAGUUCCCCCCAGUUUAUUGACAUUAGAUUAGACCUUUUGUCCUCCAAUUAUACUUCUGUGUUCCUGAAAAUACACAUUUUCCCGUUUUUUCUUUUGUUUGCUUUUUUUGAUCUUCAUUUCUGAAGAUUCCCAUGUCAUGUAAAAUAUAUGUUAAACAAAU
rnacentral:lncRNA from 1 species